CACCUUUUUCCAAUGGUAACUCUUAACAGAAGUGGAUUUCCCUUUCUAGGGGUAGAUUUCCUCUCAGUUCCUGUUGUCUCACCCCAUCUGACCAAUGGCAACUCUUAGCAAAUGAGAAACAAAGUACAUUAGUAUGCCUGUUUGAGUUCUGUUGGCAGUUGAAGUUCGAAUAGACCUUCAGAUUCGUGGGAACUAUUUUGUCUUUUACUAGAAGAACAACAUGCACCUGUGGAGCUUGAGGUAAAAACAUACACUCAGAAUUCAAAAAUUCUAAUGAAAUGGUGCUCACAUUUCAUUCAC